AGUGAACGCUGGCGGUAGGCCUAACACAUGCAAGUCGAACGGCAGCACAGUAAGAGCUUGCUCUUACGGGUGGCGAGUGGCGGACGGGUGAGGAAUACAUCGGAAUCUACUUUUUCGUGGGGGAUAACGUAGGGAAACUUACGCUAAUACCGCAUACGACCUACGGGUGAAAGCAGGGGAUCUUCGGACCUUGCGCGAUUGAAUGAGCCGAUGUCGGAUUAGCUAGUUGGCGGGGUAAAGGCCCACCAAGGCGACGAUCCGUAGCUGGUCUGGGAGGAUGAUCAGCCACACUGGAACGGAGACACGGUCCAGACUCCUACGGGAGGCAGCAGUGGGGAAUAUUGGACAAUGGGCGCAAGCCUGAUCCAGCCAUACCGCGUGGGUGAAGAAGGCCUUCGGGUUGUAAAGCCCUUUUGUUGGGAAAGAAAAGCAGCAGGUUAAUACCCCGCUGUUCUGACGGUACCCAAAGAAUAAGCACCGGCUAACUUCGUG
rnacentral:rRNA from 1 species